rnacentral:rRNA from 1 species
UACGUAGGGUACAAGCAUUAAUCGGAAUUAUUGGGCGUAAAGGGCGCGUAGGCGGGGACGUAAGUCAGGUGUGAAAUACCAAAGCUCAACUUUGGUGCUGCAUUUGAAACUGCGUUUCUUGAGGAUUGACGGAGAAAGCGGAAUUCCACGUGUAGCGGUGAAAUGCGUAGAUACGUGGAGGAACACCGGUGGCGAAAGCGGCUUUCUAGUUUUUACCUGACGCUGAGGCGCGAGAGCAAGGGGAGCAAACAGG